rnacentral:rRNA from 1 species
UACGUAGGUGGCGAGCGUUGUCCGGAUUUACUGGGCGUAAAGAGCGCGCAGGCGGCUGGUCAAGUCCGAUGUGAAAGCUCCCGGCUUAACUGGGAAAUUGCAUCGGAAACUGAUCGGCUGGAAGGUGGGAGAGGGUAGCGGAAUUCCCGGUGUAGUGGUGAAAUUCGUAGAUAUUAGGAAGAACACCAGUGGCGAAGGCGGCUCACUGGCCCGGUACUGACGCUGAGGCGCGAAAGCGUGGGGAGCAAACAGG